rnacentral:lncRNA from 1 species
UUUAGGGCAACGCUACGCGUCCACCGGCGGAUCAUUUCCAAUGAUCCACCAUCUUCACAGCCGUUUGAUUUGGUGCAUUCAGCCGAUCUCAUCCAUCCGAUCCGCACGCGGGGCUUUGGUCUAAUUCCUGAAACGAUGUUCGAGUUUCUGAAACAAUCGCUUUGUUGCAGUUUUUUUUCUUUGCGCGCGCUUCGACUCGGUACCCGAUAAUUCCUGAAACAACGCUCGAGUUUCUGAAACAAUUGCUUUGUUGCAGUUUUUUUCCUUCGCGCGCUCUUCGGCUGGGUACCAGGUAAUUACUGAAACAACGCUCGAGUUUCUGAAACAAUCGCUUUGUUGCAGUUUUUUUUUCUUUGCGCAUGUUUCGGUGUUUUCUUUGUUUUUAUAUUUUGUAACGUGUAUAUUGUUGCGGAGGAAAAUUUUGCAACUUAGGUAAAGUUACAGAAAAAGAAACACGCGUCGUACAGAGGAGCCGGCGGAUCGCUCGCGUACGAUCCGUCGGCUGAACGUAAACUUUUCCC